rnacentral:rRNA from 1 species
GCCUUAGUAACGGCGAGUGAAGCGGCAAAAGCUCAAAUUUGAAAUCUGGCACCUUCGGUGUCCGAGUUGUAAUUUGAAGAAGGUAACUUUGGAGUUGGCUCUUGUCUAUGUUCCUUGGAACAGGACGUCACAGAGGGUGAGAAUCCCGUGCGAUGAGAUGCCCAAUUCUAUGUAAAGUGCUUUCGAAGAGUCGAGUUGUUUGGGAAUGCAGCUCUAAGUGGGUGGUAAAUUCCAUCUAAAGCUAAAUAUUGGCGAGAGACCGAUAGCGAACAAGUACAGUGAUGGAAAGAUGAAAAGAACUUUGAAAAGAGAGUGAAAAAGUACGUGAAAUUGUUGAAAGGGAAGGGCUUGAGAUCAGACUUGGUAUUUUGCGAUCCUUUCCUUCUUGGUUGGGUUCCUCGCAGCUUACUGGGCCAGCAUCGGUUUGGAUGGUAGGAUAAUGACUAAGGAAUGUGGCUCUACUUCGGUGGAGUGUUAUAGCCUUGGUUGAUACUGCCUGUCUAGACCGAGGACUGCGUCUUUUGACUAGGAUGUUGGCAUAAUGAUCUUAAGCCA